rnacentral:lncRNA from 1 species
UCCCGGGCUGUUUGUGACUUUGGCAGUGAGCUCCAAUUCAUGUGCCUUCAUCUGCAGGUAUUCCUUGAGGUCUGACUUUGUAUUGGAAGUGGUUUGCAUUCACUUCUAAAAUCCUGAGGACACUACUAAUGUGGGAUGCGUCUAAUCUAAGGGUGGGCUGCUAUUGUUAUUACCCAAGAAAGAACUGAAACAGAAUUCAUUGCCAGGAUCACUGUAAGUAAAGAAGACCCAAUCUUUUACCAGCUGGAAAGCUGUUGACUUGGUGAGUGAUAAUUACGUGUUCAUGCUCUUCGUCUGAGAUGAAGAUAGUGUGCCAAUGAAUGCCUGAAUGAUAAAGAAAAUA